UACAGAGGUCUCAAGCGUUGUUCGGAUUCAUUGGGCGUAAAGGGUGCGUAGGCGGCGCGGUAAGUCGGGUGUGAAAUCUCGGAGCUUAACUCCGAAACUGCAUUCGAUACUGCCGUUCUUGAGGGAUGCAGAGGAGACUGGAAUUCCCGGUGUAGCGGUGAAAUGUGUAGAGAUCGGGAGGAACACCGGUGGCGAAGGCGGGUCUCUGGGCAUCUCCUGACGCUGAGGCGCGAAAGCGUGGGGAGCAAACGGG
rnacentral:rRNA from 1 species